rnacentral:rRNA from 1 species
UACGUAGGGGACAAGCGUUGUCCGGAUUUACUGGGCGUAAAGAGCGCGCAGGCGGUCGUUCAAGUCGAGUGUGAAAGCCCCCGGCUCAACUGGGGAGGGUCAUUCGAUACUGAUCGACUCGAAGGCAGGAGAGGGAAGUGGAAUUCCCGGUGUAGUGGUGAAAUGCGUAGAUAUCGGGAGGAACACCAGUGGCGAAGGCGACUUCCUGGCCUGUUCUUGACGCUGAGGCGCGAAAGCUAGGGGAUCAAACGGG